rnacentral:rRNA from 1 species
GAUCAUGGCUCAGGAUGAACGCUAGCUACAGGCUUAACACAUGCAAGUCGAGGGGAAACGACAUCGGAAGCUUGCUUUUGAUGGGCGUCGACCGGCGCACGGGUGAGUAACGCGUAUCCAACCUGCCCACCACUUGGGGAUAACCUUGCGAAAGUAAGACUAAUACCCAAUGAUAUCCCACGAAGGCAUCCGAAUGAGAUUAAAGAUUUAUCGGUGAUGGAUGGGGAUGCGUCUGAUUAGCUUGUUGGCGGGGUAACGGCCCACCAAGGCAACGAUCAGUAGGGGGUUCUGAGAGGAAGGUCCCCCACAUUGGAACUGAGACACGGUCCAAACUCCUACGGGAGGCAGCAGCGAGGAAUAUUGGUCAAUGGGCGAGAGCCUGAACCAGCCAAGUAGCGUGCAGGAUGACGGCCCUAUGGGUUGUAAACUGCUUUUAUAAGGGAAUAAAGUGAGUCUCGUGAGACUUUUUGUAUGUACCUUAUGAAUAAGGACCGGCUAAUUCCGUG